ensembl:lncRNA
CCCACAUAACACAAAUACACAACCGCGGCAAAGGAGUGAGGGUCCGCCAACCGGGGCCUCGCAACGUGCAUGGAGGGCGGGCAGAAGUUUUGAGCCCCCUCGAAGCUGAACGGCAACAAAAGUGAAAAGAGGACGCAACAAAAGGUUCGGCCGUGGACUGAGCUGCCGCAGCCAUUAUCGGUUCAGGGGUUGAACAAAACGAGAUGACGACAAAACGAGUGACUCCGAGAACACAAAAAAAAGGCGACGUGAUAAGCAGUCGGGCAACCCAGUGUCUCCGUGGCACCCAGCUAUCUGCGCUCCUUCCUCCACCUUCUUCAAAGCCCUGCAUGCAUGCAUGGACCGGCAGCAGCAGGUAGGGGUUACGUUGCUGCUGCUGCACAACCAGAGGGCAUCGACAUUUGUGACUGCUGCUCUGGGAGGAUUCUUUCAUCCACUGCUGGGCCUUCGAGGGCAGAGUUCGCAGCCUCAAUCAGUCACGGCAUCAAUGCAGCGGUUCUACUGGGCCGGGACACCACGGGGGUGAUGACACUGCACCGACUCUGCUUAGACGGGCAAAGCGAAGCUGAAUCUGAAGCUGGGUGUCAAGAUCAGCAGCACUUUGCAAGUCAUUGCUUAGUAGUUACAUUUCAAGAGUGAAUUGGAACGAUCCUUGGAACGUCCGGCUCUCUAGAUCCUUUUGCCCGUGUUGCCAGAUGAAGACAUGUUUACCAAACGUUGCAGGAGGUUGACAAAUGACACACACGGUCUGGGUGGAAGUCAGACGGCAGACACUAAGGCAUCUCCUGUCAAUGAAUAGUGACACUUGCUGAACUGGACUUACAAGUAGGCCGACUUCUUUAGAUUACGCUGCUUUGAAUUCUCUCUCCACCCACCCCUCAGAAAAAAAGCUGUAUUUUUAAGAUAAAUUCAGGCGGUGCUUGGUCCUGAUUUUCUUGUCACUUUAAAAUCCGGAGGGUCUCUCUGGUGUGACCUGUGGUAGCGUGCAAACAUUCCUUUACCUCACCAGAGUCACUCUGAUCCAAUCAGCAACUGAACCGCAGGAAUCUCCAAAAUGUUAUGACGUAACCGGCUAAAACCGGGGGAAAAAACAACUCCUGUCGACCACUUAAUGUUAGUUUAAGUGUUUUAACUUUACCUUUGCAUUCCAGCAUUCUUUCAACCUGUUUCAGACCUGACCCAUCCACUAAUAAAAGUCAAACAACAUGCAAA